rnacentral:tRNA from 1 species
UUCCAUUGUCGUCCAGCUGUUAGGAUAUCUGGCUUUCAUCCAGGAGACCCGGUUUCGAUUCCUGGCAAAGGAACC